UUCACUGCGAAUACGUCACAUCUCGACGAGGCAACCAGCAACUUUGCGUGGAUGGCUACACAUUCUUUCCAAAAAGAAUUCACGGACCGAGGAUAAAUACAAGCAUUCCUUCGUAAUGAGUCGACAUGGGAAUAGGCUUCUUCAAGUAGAUGGCUACACGUUCUACCCUCGAAAGAACAAGAAGUUGAAAAAAAGAUGGAGAUGCGCGACGCACCUCAACAAAGGAUGCAGUGAAAGUUACGUUAUUACCGUUAAUGACAUAAUUAUAGAUAUUAACAAUGAACACAUUCAUGAAAGAGACGGGAGGCCCAAAGUUGAUUUCCCCAAGUACUACUAA